AUACGGAGGGGGUUAGCGUUGUUCGGAAUUACUGGGCGUAAAGCGUACGUAGGCGGACUAGUAAGUGAGGGGUGAAAUCCCAGGGCUCAACCCUGGAACUGCCUUUCAUACUGCUAGUCUUGAGGUCGAGAGAGGUGAGUGGAAUUCCGAGUGUAGAGGUGAAAUUCGCAGAUAUUCGGAGGAACACCAGUGGCGAAGGCGGCUCACUGGCUCGAUUCUGACGCUGAGGUACGAAAGUGUGGGGAGCAAACAGGAUUAGAAACCCUAGUAGUCC
rnacentral:rRNA from 1 species